AAGUCAUAACAAGGUUUCCGUAGGUGAACCUGCGGAAGGAUCAUUAUUGAAUAGCCGAAAGGCUUUUAUCCACACACACUGUGAACCGUGGCUUCGGCCCUUUUUCUAAACUAUGUGUAUGAAUGUAACAUAUUAUAAUCAAAAUAACUUUCAACAACGGAUCUCUUGGCUCUC
rnacentral:misc_RNA from 1 species